rnacentral:sRNA from 1 species
CCUGAUUCAUCUUCUUCGUCACCGUUAG